rnacentral:rRNA from 1 species
CCUACGGGGGGCAGCAGUGAGGAAUAUUGGUCAAUGGCCGGAAGGCUGAACCAGCCAUGCCGCGUGAAGGUCAGUGCCCUAUGGGCGUUAAACUUCUUUUGUGCGGGAGCAUUAAUGGUCACGUGUGGCCAGACGAGAGUACCGUACGAAUAAGCAUCGGCUAACUCCGUGCCAGCAGCCGCGGUAAUACGGGGGAUGCAAGCGUUAUCCGGAUUUAUUGGGUUUAAAGGGUGCGUAGGCUGGGAGGUAAGUUAGCGGUGAAAUGCCCCCGCUCAACGGGGUGAAGUGCCUUUGAUACGGGCUAGCUGGAGUGCGUAUGAGGAGGGAGGAAUGUGAGGUGUAGGGGUGAAAUGCGGAGAUAUCA